rnacentral:rRNA from 1 species
GAAAGUAAUAAAGAGCGUAUGGGGGAUGCCUAGGCUCUUGGAGGCGAAGAAGGACGUGGUAAGCUGCGAAAAGUCGCGGGGAUUUGCAAACGAGAAUUGAUCCGCGAAUAUCCGAAUGGGACAACCCGGCAGGCAGAAGGCCUGUCACCCAGCAAUGGGGGCUAACCCUCUGAACUGAAACAUCUAAGUAGGAGGAGGAGAAGAAAGAAACAUCGAUUUCCAAAGUAGCGGCGAGCGAAAUGGAAGGAGCCCAAACCGGUAUUGUUACGGCAAUGCCGGGGUUAUAGGACUGCGAGAUUCGAAGGACAAAGAACUGGAAAGAUUUGGAAAAGUCGACCAUAGAGAGUGAAAGUCUCGUACAGGUAAUUGAGUUCAAAGAUAGCAGUAUCCUGAGUAUGGCGGGACACGAGGAAUCCAGUCAGAAUUUGCCGGGACCACCCGGUAAGGCUAAAUACUCCCAAGAGACCGAUAGUGAACCAGUACUGUGAAGGAAAGGUGAAAAGAACCCCGAACAGGGGAGUGAAAAAGAACCUGAAACCAUACGCUUACAACCUGUCGGAGCGGCUUUGUGCCGUGACGGCGUGCCUAUUGAAUAAUGAGCCUACGAGUUACUAAUCACUGGCGAGGUUAAGUGCUAGGAAGCACGGAGCCGAAGCGAAAGCGAGUCUGAACAGGGCGUUUAGUCAGUGGUUGUAGACGCGAAACCUUGCGAUCUACCCUUGAGCAGGAUGAAGGUUGGGUAAAGCCAACUGGAGGUCCGAACGAAUAAGCGUUGAAAAGCUUCUCGAUGACUUGAGGGUAGGAGUGAAAGGCCAAUCAAGCUGGGAAAUAGCUCGUACUCCCCGAAAUGCCUUUAGGGGCAGCGUUGUAAUAAAGAGUCUACUGGAGGUAGAGCUACUGAUUGGAUGCGGGGGCUUCACCGCCUACCAAAUCCUGACAAACUCCGAAUGCCAGUAGUAUGAUUUACAGCAGUGAGCGACCGGGUGCUAAUGUCCGGUGACAAAAGAGGAACAACUCAGACCAGCAACUAAGGUCCCCAAGCGUAUGCUAAGUUGAACUAACGAUGUUUUGUUGCAUAGACAGCUAGGAUGUUAGCUUGGAAGCAGCUAUUCAUUCAAAGAGUGCGUAACAGCUCACUAGUCGAGCGACAAAGCGUGGAUAAUAAACGGGCAUCAAGCAUACCACCGAAGUUCUGGGCGCGAAAGCGCGGUAGGGGAGCAUUCCAUUCAGCGUUGAAGCAGCGUCGUGAGAUGUUGUGGAGCGUAUGGAAAAGCAAAUGUAGGCAUGAGUAACGAUAAUGCGGGAGAGUAACCCGCACACCGCAAGACCAAGGUUUCCUGAUCAACGCUAAUCGGAUCAGGGUUAGUCGGGUCCUAAGGGUAAGCCGAACGGUGAUCUCGAUGGACAAUCGGUUAAUAUUCCGAUACUAACAUAUACCUCGAUGGAGAGACGAAGGAACGUAAGUGACGCCGCCUGACGGAAUAGGUGGUUAAAGGGCGUAGGUAUAGGGACAGAUUAAGAGUUAGUCCUUGCUGAAACCCGACAGUACGGAGCGGCUACGGCCAAUCUGAUAGUUCACCCAAGUCGACUUCCGAGAAAAUCUUCUAAGUUAUAGUAUAUGUUACCCGUACCGUAAACCGACACAGGUGGUCGAGGAGAGUAUCCUAAGGUGCUCGAGUGAAUCACGGUUAAGGAACUAGGCAAAUUAACCCCGUAACUUCGGGAAAAGGGGUCCCUACGCGAGUAGGGCGCAGCGAAGAGGUCCAGGCGACUGUUUAUCAAAAACACAGGGCUCUGCAAAUUCGAAAGAAGACGUAUAGGGCCUGACACCUGCCCGGUGCUGGAAGGUUAAGAGGGGAUGUCAUCGCAAGAGAAGCAUUGAAUCGAAGCCCCAGUAAACGGCGGCCGUAACUAUAACGGUCCUAAGGUAGCGAAAUUCCUUGUCGGGUAAGUUCCGACCUG